CCCUUAGAUGUUCUGGGCCGCACGCGCGCUACACUGAUGCAUUCAACGAGCCUAUCCUUGACCGACAGGUCCGGGUAAUCUUUGAAUCUGCAUCGUGACGGGGAUAGAUUAUUGCAAUUAUUAAUCUUCAACGAGGAAUGCCUAGUAGGCGCAAGUCAUCAGCUUGCGUCGAUUACGUCCCUGCCCUUUGUACACACCGCCCGUCGCUCCUACCGAUUGGGUGUGCUGGUGAAAUGUUCGGAUCGGCCGUUUGUCGCGGUUUCCGCGUCAUGUGGCUGAGAAGUUCAUGAAACCCUCCCACCGAGAGGAAGGAGAAGUCGUAACA
rnacentral:rRNA from 1 species